rnacentral:snoRNA from 2 species
GCAUGGGUUUGGAUUUAUGGCAGGCCCAUCCCCCUGGGUCUCUCACAGUGUCUCAUGCCAGAGCAACUGUGGCCCUGAACCAUUGCCUGGCUUCUGCCUGUAGGCUGCUGGCAAUGAAGUGGGUUGCACAGUA